UGUGUAGGCGGUUGUUUAAGUUUGGUGUGAAAUCUCCCGGCUCAACUGGGAGGGUGCGCCGAAUACUGAAUGACUCGAGUGCGGGAGAGGAAAGUGGAAUUCCUGGUGUAGCGGUGAAAUGCGUAGAUAUCAGGAGGAACACCGGUGGUGUAGACGGCUUUCUGGACCGUAACUGACGCUGAAACACGAAAGCGUGGGUAGCAAACAGGAUUAGAUACCCUGGUAGUCCACGCCCUAAACGAUGCAUAUUUGGUGUGGGCAGUUCAUUCUGUCCGUGCCGGAGCUAACGCGUUAAAUAUGCCGCCUGGGGAGUACAGUCGCAAGGCUGAA
rnacentral:rRNA from 1 species